AGCGAACGCUGGCGGCAGGCCUAAUACAUGCAAGUCGAGCGCACCUUCGGGUGAGCGGCGGACGGGUGAGUAACGCGUGGGAAUGUGCCCUUUGGUACGGAACAACUGAGGGAAACUUCAGCUAAUACCGUAUGUGCCCUUCGGGGAAAGGAUUAUCGCCAUUGGAGCAGCCCGCGUUGGAUUAGGUAGUUGGUGAGGUAAAGGACUCACCAAGCCGACGAUCCAUAGCUGGUCUGAGAGGAUGAUCAGCCACACU
rnacentral:rRNA from 1 species